rnacentral:tRNA from 1 species
UGGGGCGUCGCCAAGUGGUAAGGCACCUGGUUUUGGUUCAGGCAUCCCUAGGUUCGAAUCCUAGCGCCCCAG